rnacentral:rRNA from 1 species
UCCUGGCUCAGAACGACGACUGGCGGCGCGCCGUAAUACAUGCAAGUCGAGCGAGAAGGUGUAGCAAUACACUUGUAAAGCGGCGAACGGGUGAGGAAUACAUGGGUAAUCUACCAUCGAGUGGGGAAUAACCAGCCGAAAGGUUGGCUAAUACCGCGUACGCUUCCGAGUCUUCGGGGCUUGGAAGGAAAGCCGCACUGUGAGUGCGGCGCUCUUUGAUGAGCUCAUGUCCUAUCAGCUUGUUGGUAGGGUAACGGCCUACCAAGGCUUUGACGGAUAGCUGGUCUGAGAGGACGAUCAGCCACACUGGCACUGCGACACGGGCCAGACUCCUACGGGAGGCAGCAGUAAGGAAUAUUGCGCAAUGGGCGAAAGCCUGACGCAGCGACGCCGCGUGGGGGAUGAAGGUCUUCGGAUUGUAAACCCCUUUCGGGAGGGAAGAUGGAGCGAGCAAUCGUUCGGACGGUACCUCCAGAAGCAGCCACGGCCAACUUCGUG